rnacentral:rRNA from 1 species
GGUAGUUGGUGAGGUAAUGGCUCACCAAGCCGAUAAUCGAUAGGGGCCGUGAGAGCGGGAGCCUCAAGAUGGGUACUGAGACAGCGACCCAGGCCCUACGGGGCGCAGCAGGCGCGAAACCUCCACAAUGCACGCAAGUGCGAUGGGGCUACCCAAAGUGCUCCAUACGGAGCUGUGGUGGAUGAUUAAUGUACUCCACUACAAACGAGAGGGCAAGGCUGGUGCCACCCGCCGCGGUAAAACCAGCUCUUCAAGUGGUCGGGAUAAUUAUUGGGCUUAAAGUGUCCGUAGCUGGUACGGUAAGUUCCUGGUCAAAUUGGGCAGCUUAACUGUCCUUAUGCUAGGAAUACUACUCUC